UACGUAGGGUGCGAGCGUUAAUCGGAAUUACUGGGCGUAAAGCGUGCGCAGGCGGUUUUGUAAGCCAGAUGGGAAAUCCCCGGGCUUAACCGUGGAACUGCUUGGUAUACUGGUUGUCUUGGGCCAUCUAGGGGCUACCGGAACAAACGGUGGAGCGGUGAAAUGCGUAGAUAUCGUAAGGAAGACCAGUGGCGAAGGCGGGUCUCUGGACAGUUCCUGACGCUGAGGCACGAAGGUCAGGGGAGCAAACGGG
rnacentral:rRNA from 1 species